rnacentral:rRNA from 1 species
GGAUUCCCCUAGUAACUGCGAGUGAAGCGGGAAAAGCUCAAAUUUAAAAUCUGGCGGUCUUUGGUCGUCCGAGUUGUAGUCUGGAGAAGUGCUUUCCGCGCUGGACCGUGUACAAGUCUCUUGGAAUAGAGCGUCAUAGAGGGUGAGAAUCCCGUCUUUGACACGGACUACCAGUGCUUUGUGAUGCGCUCUCAAAGAGUCGAGUUGUUUGGGAAUGCAGCUCAAAAUGGGUGGUAAAUUCCAUCUAAAGCUAAAUAUUGGCGAGAGACCGAUAGCGAACAAGUACCGUGAGGGAAAGAUGAAAAGCACUUUGGAAAGAGAGUUAAACAGUACGUGAAAUUGCUGAAAGGGAAACACUUGAAGUCAGUCGCGUCGCUUGGAACUCAGCCUUGCUUUUGCUUGGUGCACUUUCUGAGUGACGGGCCAGCAUCAAUUUUGACCGUUGGAAAAAGGCUGGGGGAAUGUGGCACCUUCGGGUGUGUUAUAGACUCUGGUCACAUACAACGGUUGGGAUUGAGGACCGCAGCGUGCCGCAAGGCAGGGGUUCGCCCACUUUCGCGCUUAGGAUGCUGGCAUAAUGGCUUUAAAUGACCCGUCUUGAAACACGGACCAAGGAGUCUAACAUACCUGCGAGUGUUUGGGUGGAAAACCCGAGCGCGUAAUGAAAGUGAAAG